rnacentral:rRNA from 1 species
UACGUAGGGUGCGAGCGUUGUCCGGAAUUAUUGGGCGUAAAGAGCUUGUAGGCGGUCUGUCGCGUCUGCUGUGAAAAUCCGGGGCUCAACCCCGGACUUGCAGUGGGUACGGGCAGACUAGAGUGUGGUAGGGGAGACUGGAAUUCCUGGUGUAGCGGUGAAAUGCGCAGAUAUCGGGAAGAACACCCGGUGGCGAAGGCGGUUCUCUGGGACGGUACUGACGGCUGAGACGCGAAAGCGUGGGGAGCGAACAGG